rnacentral:misc_RNA from 1 species
CAGCAGGUGGAGGAACAAAUUGUGGUACACCCGUCUUCUUUUGAUGACCCAAUUGAUUUCACAUCACCUUCUGUACUUUCUCCAGUUCCCCAAGUAUCUUCUGCCAUUGAGGCCAGAUCUGCCCAUCUAUACACUAUCAGGAGAAACUGGAGGCUUCUAUUUUUCAUGUUCACCCAGCUAAGUGAGGCCAGUCCUGGAUCUCUGUGGGCCUCAAUCUCCUCACCUGAAACCUGGUGCAGGCAGGACCACCCCUUCGCUCCGUUGUCAAGGUCCAGAUGUCCCUGGUGUCCAACAGGGCUUGACUACAGCAGGCACUUAAUAUGUGCUAACUCCGUGCAUCCCCCCUCCUUUUUCCUAAGUGGAUUAUGCAUUUUCAUCUGGGAUUUCAGCAGGCAUUGCGUCCUGUGUGCAGCAGGCUGCUCGCUCCUGGACACCGCAGGAAGUUUUCAAAGGAACCCCCUGGAAC